GACGAACGCUGGCGGCGUGCUUAACACAUGCAAGUCGAACGAAGUGGCGAACGGGUGAGUAACGCGUAAUCAACCUGCCCUUCAGAGGGGGACAACAGUUGGAAAAGACUGCUAAUACCGCAUAAGGAAGGAGGGGAUUGCGUCUGAUUUGCUAGUUGGAGGGGUAACGGCCCACCAAGGGGAUGAUCAGUAGCCGGGCUGAGGGGAGGCACUGGCACAUUGGUACUGGGAACACGCCCAGACUCCUUCUGGAGGGAUCAGUGGGGAAUCUUCCGCAAUGGACGAAAGUCUGGCGGAGCAACGCCGCGUUAGUGAUGACGGCCUUCGGGUUUUAAAGCUCUGUUAAUCGGGACGCGGUACCGGAAUAGAAAGCCACGGCUAACUACGUGCCAGCAGCCGCGGUAAUUC
rnacentral:rRNA from 1 species